CCGGGGCUAAUACCGGAUGGUUGUUUGAACCGCAUGGUUCAAACAUAAAAGGUGGCUUCGGCUACCACUUACAGAUGGACCCGCGGCGCAUUAGCUAGUUGGUGAGGUAAUGGCUCACCAAGGCAACGAUGCGUAGCCGACCUGAGAGGGUGAUCGGCCACACUGGGACUGAGACACGGCCCAGACUCCUACGGGAGGCAGCAGUAGGGAAUCUUCCGCAA
rnacentral:rRNA from 1 species